CCUGGGGUGGGGACAGCUAAAGCUUCGGCUUUUCAGCAAGACUGACGGGUGUCCUCGCCUUGGGUCCCCUGAAGCGGCGGAACCCGACCCUUCGGGCGAGCCCGCCAGGCUCCAGCACCGAGAUGCGCCUCCACCUGCUCCUGCUGCUGGUGCUGUGCCGGUCGGGCUCGACUUCCGGGGCGCUCAGCUACGGCCUAGGAGGAAGCUGGAGGAUCCGCAGCGGGAACGGCUCGCUGGAGCUGCUCGGGACCGUCCCCGGCUGCGUGCACAGCGCCUUGUUCCAGCAGGGCCUAAUCCAGGAUCCUUACUAUGGAUUUAAUGACCUUAAUUAUAGAUGGAUUUCCUUGGAUAACUGGACUUAUAGCAAGGAAUUUAAAAUUCCCUUUGAUAUCAGCAAAUGGCAAAUAAUAAAUUUGAUAUUUGAGGGAGUUGAUACAGUUUCAGAAAUCCUGUUGAAUAACGUUACUAUUGGGAAAACAGACAACAUGUUCAACAAAUACAUCUUCGAUAUUACCAAUGUGGUUAGAGUCAUGAACUCCAUUGAGCUGCGUUUCCAGUCAGCAGUGCUGUACGCUGCAAAGCAGAGCAAAGCUUACACCAGCCGCGAGGUGCCCCCCAACUGCCCUCCACUUGUGCAGAAGGGUGAAUGCCAUGUCAACUUUAUUCGAAAGGAACAGUGUUCCUUUAGUUGGGACUGGGGGCCUUCCUUUCCUACCCAGGGAAUCUGGAAAGAUGUUAGAAUUGAAGCCUAUAAUAUUUGUCAUCUGAAUGACUUCACAUUUGUCCCAAUGUAUGUCAGAAGAACCCAGGUGUGGAAUCUUGAAAUACAGGCAUUUUUUGAUGUCAUCAGCCCAACUCCAGUUGGUGGUCAAGUGAUCAUAGCCAUCCCUGAAUUAAAAAUACAGCAGACAAAUAGCAUUACACUUCAACCUGGGGCAAGGAUUGUUGAGCUGUCUGUGAAAAUUAAUAAGAAUAUUCCUGUGAAAACUUGGUGGCCUCAUGGACAUGGAAACCAGACUGGGUAUAACAUGAAAAUUCUUUUUAAACUGGAUAAAAAUUUAACUAUUGAAAGAUCAGCUAAGGUUUAUUUUAGAACAGUAGAACUUAUGGAAGAGCCCAUAAAAGGAUCUCAUGGUCUAAGUUUCUACUUCAAAAUUAAUGAAAUUCCCAUAUUUCUGAAAGGAUCCAAUUGGAUCCCAGCAGAUUCAUUCCAGGAUCGAGUAACUUCUGACUUGUUAUGGCUCCUUUUGCAGUCUGUUGUGGAUGCUAACAUGAAUGUUCUCCGGGUGUGGGGAGGAGGCAUUUAUGAGCAGGAUGAGUUCUAUGAACUCUGUGAUGAACUAGGAAUAAUGGUAUGGCAGGAUUUUAUGUUUGCCUGUGCCCUUUAUCCAAAUGAACAGGGCUUCAUGGAUUCAGUGGCAGCAGAAGUUGCUCACCAGGUCAGGAGACUGAAGUCUCAUCCCUCUAUCAUAGUAUGGAGUGGCAAUAAUGAAAAUGAAGAAGCACUGAUGAUGAACUGGUUUGGUAUAAAACUAGUUGAUCUGCCAGUCUACAUAAAAGACUAUGUGGCACUCUAUGUGUCAAACAUCAGAGAGGUCGUCUUUUCAGGAGAUAAGAGUCGUCCUUUUGUAACGUCCAGUCCUUCAAAUGGAGCCAAAUCUGUUGAAGAAGGCUGGGUCUCUCAGAAUCCUCAGAGCAAGUUUUUUGGUGAUGUACAUUUUUAUGACUAUGAUAGUGAUUGCUGGAAUUGGAAAAUUUUCCCAAAAGCUCGAUUUGUUUCUGAGUAUGGAUAUCAGUCCUGGCCUUCCUUCAGUACGUUAGAGACGGUCUCAUCUAAAAAGGACUGGUUUUACAACAGCAGCUUUUCCUUUCAUCGACAACAUCAUGAACGUGGUAACUAUAAAAUGCUUUAUCAGGCUGGACUUCAUUUCAAACUGCCCCAAAGCUCAGACCCAUUACGUACAUUUAAAGACACCAUCUACAUUACUCAGGUGAUGCAGGCCCAGUGUGUCAAAACGGAAACUGAAUUCUAUCUCCGCAGUCGCAGUGAGAUAGUAAAUGGAAAAGGCCACACCAUGGGGGCGAUGUACUGGCAGUUGAAUGACAUCUGGCAGGCUCCUUCCUGGUCUUCUCUUGAGUUUGGAGGAAAGUGGAAAAUGCUUCAUUACUUUGCUCGAAAUUUCUUUGCUCCACUGUUGCCAGUAGGCUUUGAGGAUCAAGAUGUAUUUUAUAUCUAUGGUGUGUCAGACCUUCACUCAGAGUCCAAAGUGAAACUCACCGUGAGAAUCCAUUCGUGGAGUUCCCUGAAACCCUUGUGCUCCACUGUGACUAACCCUCUUGUCAUUAAAGCCGGGGAGGCUGUGUCCCUCUAUAAGGAACCAGUGUAUAAACUGCUGAAGAGAUGUGGGAAUUGUACCCGGCAAAGCUGUGUGGUUUCCUUUUACCUUUCAACUGACGGAGGACACCGGAGCCCCACCAACUAUCACUUCCUGUCCUCUCUGAAGUAUGCCGUGGGCCUCCUCAAGCCCCAUAUCACAGCCAAUAUCUCUCAGCAACAUGACACUUUUGUUUUUGCCCUGGAAACCUCAGCUGUUGCUCCCUUUGUUUGGUUGGAUGUAGGCAGCAUCCCAGGGAGAUUUAGUGACAAUGGUUUCCUCAUGACUGAGAAGAAACAAACUGUAUUAUUUUACCCUUGGAAACCUACCAGCAAGAAUGAAUUGAAGCAAUCUUUUCGUGUGACCUCCCUGACAGAUAUUUACUGAAGGAAUCUGGUUGUAUUUUCGGUGGACACUGGAAACCAAGCAUUUCUAGAGCUCUCACUGGAGAGGAGGACAACCCGAGAGAAGCUGAGGAAACUGAGAGAUGCAUCUACUUGCUCCCACGUGUCUGAUCGUUCUCUCGAGUUUGUACAAUGAAUACUUUCAGGGAAGGCUGUUCCCCAGGUGACAGGGGCCAUCACACCCAGCAAGACCUUGGGAGUUGAGCGAUAGAGGAAGAAUGUUAGUUUGGAUUCCUUCAUGGCUAAGAAGAGAGAUGCCCUACUCAUCCCUGAGCCUGCUGCAAGAGUGGUUGAUUAAAACACUACUGGAGUCAGAAGAUCCUGCAGGUCUGUUACUUGGGGAAUUGCACAUCAGAAGAAAAUCCACCCCGCCUCCGAAGGUGAAAAAACAGGAAGAAGAAAGAGACGCAAUACUCUUCAUUCCCUGAAUAAUUCAUUCAUAAGCAAUUUAGCCUGCAUCACCAGCUGAGGCAGCUUAAAGACCAGAUGGGGACACCUGACUGGGGACUGAGAUGGCUGAAGGACAGGCUCCCUUGCCUAUCCUACAGUGCAUGCUGCAGUGGCUGGGACCUCAUUUAAGGCACGAUGGCUCACCCAUGAACACAGGAGUUAUCCGGAGUUGGGUGUAAGCUUAGAAGUACUUUUACUAUGGCCUACUUGACCUCUUAAACCUCAGAUUCUUACUCUAUCCUAUUUAUAAACAGAAAAACAAGCACUUCCUUGAAUCUGACCUACAGACAGUGGAGGUGGUUCUUACUCUGGUUGUAUUAUAUGGAGCUUUGAAUCAAUGAUAGCCUGAAACAUAUAGAUACAACUUUGAACUUUCAGGGGAGAGCCUCCAAGAAAACAUAUGGAGAUACUUUUUUCCUUCUGAGAGCACCAACAGUCUAUCCUUGAGUAAUGUGUUCAUAAAUGAGAGACUUGGUAUUGCAUGUGAGAGCUGUAAUGCACUUCCGAGGAAAGACUGCAUUGCUCAUAUUUUGUAGACGAUAAACUCCAGGAACAAGGUGAUGAAGUUACUUUCCAUACAGCUCAGAGCUGGCUACUAAGUGGCAGGGCAGGGCUGGAAGCCUGUUUUGACACCAUACCAAGCUGCGUCCAGUUAGAAGCCGACUACUCACUGCUGUCAUAGAUGGCGUCUGACACCACGGGUUCCAGGCGCCUGGUGAAGCUGCCCGUGCUGUCAGGAAGAAAAGCUGUAAACAUGAGCCGCACCACGCUGAGGUCCAUCUCCUUCGUCUGCUGAAGAGCUGCCUGGCGGAUGAGCUCCUUUUCCCGAUCUAGGAUCACACAGCACAGUCGUUCAUGCCAAAAGGCAGCGGAAAGUGUCAACUUCUACAACAGCCUUUAUAAACUCAAAGAACGAGGCCUUAAAAACCCGUUUAUUUUCCCUCUCUCUUUUGAAAUUCUUUAUAUUGUUAGUAAAAAAUUUUAAGUAGUCCCAUUUAUGUCAUCCCAAAUUA